UUUGUAUCCUGGUCGUUAGGAUGAACGCGUGGCGGCGUGCUUAACACAUGCAAGUCGAACGGUAGUUUUUAAACGGAAAGUUUUCGGAUGGAAGUUUAAAAACUUAGUGGCGGACGGGUGAGUAACGCGUGGGUAACCUGCCUCAUACAGGGGGAUAACAGUUAGAAAUGACUGCUAACACCGCAUAAUAUAGCGAAACCGCAUGAUUUUUGCUAUCAAAUAUUUUAUAGGUAUGAGAUGGGCCCGCGUCUGAUUAGCUAGUUGGUGGGGUAAAAGCCUACCAAGGCGACGAUCAGUAGCCGGCUUGAGAGAGUGACCGGCCACAUUGGGACUGAGACACGGCCCAAACUCCUACGGGAGGCAGCAGUGGGGAAUAUUGGACAAUGGGGGAAACCCUGAUCCAGCCGACGCCGCGUGAGUGAAGAAGUAUUUCGGUAUGUAAAGCUCUAUCAGCAGGGAAGAUAAUGACAGUACCUGACUAAGAAGCCCCGGCUAACUACGUGCCAGCCGCGGC
rnacentral:ncRNA from 1 species